rnacentral:rRNA from 1 species
UACGAAGGGGGCUAGCGUUGCUCGGAAUUACUGGGCGUAAAGCGCACGUAGGCGGCUUUCUAAGUCGGGGGUGAAAUCCUGGAGCUCAACUCCAGAACUGCCUUCGAUACUGGAGAGCUUGAGUCCGGGAGAGGUGAGUGGAACUGCGAGUGUAGAGGUGAAAUUCGUAGAAUAUUCGCAAGAACACCAGUGGCGAAAGGCG